rnacentral:rRNA from 1 species
AACGAACGCUGGCGGCAGGCCUAACACAUGCAAGUCGAACGCUGUAGCAAUACAGAGUGGCAGACGGGUGAGUAACACGUGGGAAUCUUCCUAUCGGUACGGAAUAGCUCAGGGAAACUUGGGGUAAUACCGCAUACGCCCUUCGGGGGAAAGAUUUAUCGCCGAUAGAUGAGCCCGCGUCUGAUUAGCUAGUUGGUGAGGUAAUGGCUCACCAAGGCGACGAUCAGUAGCUGGUCUGAGAGGAUGACCAGCCACACUGGGACUGAGACACGGCCCAGACUCCUACGGGAGGCAGCAGUGGGGAAUAUUGGACAAUGGGCGCAAGCUUGAUCCAGCCAUGCCGCGUGAGUGACGAAGGUCUUCGGAUUGUAAAGCUCUUUUGGCGGGGACGAUAAUGACGGUACCCGCAGAAUAAGCCCCGGCUAACUUCGUGCCAGCCGCCGCGGUAAUAC